GUGGGAGGGGGCUUGUUCCCGAUGGCGGAGUGUCAGUCGACAGCUAAUUGACUGAUUUACCGUCAUCGGGAGCAAGCCCCCUCCCAC
rnacentral:misc_RNA from 1 species